GAUACUAUAUAGUUGAAAUCUUACAGCAUGCAAUCCUUUCAUAUUGGCUUUCUUUCAGUUAAUACUAUGUUUUAAAAUUUCCUCCAUAUCUUUUCAUGACUUAAUGGCUCAUUUCUUUAUAUUACUAAAUGAUACACUAUUGUUUGGACAUACUCCAGUGUUAUUUAUCUGUUCACUUGAAAAAGGACAUCUUGGCUGUUUCUAAGUUUUGGCAAUUUAUGAAUGAAGCUGCUAAAUGAAGCUGCUCUGUGCACAGGUUUAUUGUGUACAUAAAUUUUUAGCUAAUCUGAGUACAUAUCAAGGAGUACAAUUGAUUGUAUUAUAAGGGUAUAUGCAAUUUUUACAGAAAAGUGAUAAACUGCCUUUAAAGGUGGCCAUACCAUUUUGUGUUCCCGUCAGCAAAGAAUGAAAAUUCUUCUUUCUCUGCAUGAUCAUCAGCAUUUGGUGUCUUCAGUGUUUGGGAUUUUGGUCAUUUUAAUAGGUGUACAGUGAUAUCUCUUUAAUGUUUAACUUGCAGUUUUCUAUGACAUAUGAUGCUGGGCAUCUUUUUAUAUAUCUAUUUGCCAUCUUUAUAUCUUCUUUAGUGAAGUGCUUAUUUAGAUCAUUGUUUUAAUCUGGUUGUUCAUUUUCUUAUUUUUAAGCUUAUUGAGAGUUUUGUUUCAUUCAAGUCAAUAAUAUUUUAACAUUGCUUUUUUUUCUGAUGAUAUAUGAUGAAAUAUGAUAAAUAGUUUUGAUUGAACAAACAAAGGAAUUUUAAAGAAAGAAAGGGGAUAAAAAAU
rnacentral:lncRNA from 1 species